rnacentral:rRNA from 10 species
AGUCAUAUGCUUGUCUCAAAGAUUAAGCCAUGCAUGUCUCAGUACAAGCCUAAUUAAGGUGAAACCGCGAAAGGCUCAUUAAAUCAGUUAUGGUUCCUUAGAUCGUACCCACAUUUACUUGGAUAACUGUGGUAAUUCUAGAGCUAAUACAUGCAAACAGAGCCCAGACCGGAGACGGAAUGGGCGCUUUUAUUAGAUCAAAACCAAUCGGCGUCGGGUUCGCCCGUCGUCGUACAACUUGGUGAAUCUGAAUAACUUUCUGCUGAUCGCAUGGUCUCGCACCGGCGACGCAUCUUUCAAAUGUCUGCCUUAUCAACUGUCGAUGGUAGGUUCUGCGCCUACCAUGGUUGUAACGGGUAACGGGGAAUCAGGGUUCGAUUCCGGAGAGGGAGCCUGAGAAACGGCUACCACAUCCAAGGAAGGCAGCAGGCGCGCAAAUUACCCACUCCCGGCACGGGGAGGUAGUGACGAAAAAUAACGAUACGGGACUCAUCCGAGGCCCCGUAAUCGGAAUGAGUACACUCUAAACCCUUUAACGAGGAUCAAUUGGAGGGCAAGUCUGGUGCCAGCAGCCGCGGUAAUUCCAGCUCCAAUA